rnacentral:rRNA from 1 species
GGGGGAAUGAUUCACGGCAACCUGCCCCUGAAAUUUUUAAAUGGCCGCAGUAUACUAACUGUGCAAAGGUAGCAUAAUCAUUAGUCUUUUAAUUGAAGGCUGGUAUGAAUGGUUGGACGAAAUAUAUACUGUUUCAAUUGAAUUUAUUAUAGAAUUUUAUUUUUUAGUCAAAAAGCUAAAAUAUAAUUAAAAGACGAGAAGACCCUAUAAAUCUUUAUAUUUAAAUUAUUUUAAUUAUAAAGAUUAAUUUUAUUAUAAUAAUUUUAAAUAUUUUAUUGGGGUGAUAUUAAAAUUUAAUAAACUUUUAAAAUUAUUAAAUCAUUAAUUUAUGAAUAUUUGAUCCAGUAAAUACUGAUUAAAAAUUUAAGUUACUUUAGGGAUAACAGCGUAAUUUUUUUGGAGAGUUCAUAUCGAUAAAAAAGAUUGCGACCUCGAUGUUGGAUUAAGAGAUAAAUUUGGGCGCAGCCGUUCAAAAUAUUAAGUCUGUUCGACUUUUAAAUUCUUACGUGAUCUGAGUUCAGACCGGA